rnacentral:rRNA from 1 species
CCAAUAGCGUAUAUUAAAGUUGUUGCAGUUAAAAAGCUCGUAGUUGAAUUUCGGGAUCAAUAUGUUGGUCGUGCCUUGGUACGUACUGGCGUCAUUGGUUUCUACCUUCUGAAGAACCUCGAUGUCAUUAAUUUGGUGUCUUGGGGAAUCAGGACUGUUACUUUGAAAAAAUUAGAGUGUUUAAAGCAGGCUCACGCUUGAAUACAUUAGCAUGGAAUAAUGAAAUAGGACGUUUGAUUCUAUUUUGUUGGUUUCUAGGAUCGACGUAAUGAUUAAUAGGGAUAGUUGGGGGCAUUAGUAUUCAAUUGUCAGAGGUGAAAUACUUGGAUUUAUUGAAGACUAACUACUGCGAAAGCAUUUGCCAAGGAUGUUUUCAUUAAUCAAGAACGAAAGUUAGGGGAUCGAAGACGAUCAGAUACCGUCGUAGUCUUAACCAUAAACUAUGCCGACUAGGGAUCGGAUGAUGUUAAUUUUUUAAUGACUCAUUCGGCGCCUUACG